AUGAAACAGCACAAAUAGAAAAGCGAAGUGUGCCUUGGGCUACAAAAACACUGCGAAACUACGCAGUCGUCUGCAAACAUCCCACACACGCACACACGGCGGAGCUGGGAGGCCGUGGCGAGGCGGGAGCGAAGGAAAAGCCCACGCGUUACGCCUCAUCAAAAGGGAUACCCGUCUUCGCAUCACUGGAAUUGCACCUGCCCGUUGUGAUGUUUUGAACGUGGAAGAUGAACUUUAUGAGCAUGGGUUUUAUUCCAUUUGAACCGGGAAGCGGAAUGCCUGCGCAACAGGGAAACGGCAUACAUAUUUUACUGGAGUUCGGCAACUACUUGGGUAUAUGAAGAAAGAGCACUGAAAAGUUCCUGAAAAUAAAGGCAGUAAUUAAUCUUAAAAAGCCCAGUAUUGGAAAUCUGUUUGACCUAAAGAAGCAGGAAAGUUCCUCUCACUCAGUGGAGGCCAGUUCUGGUCCCGGAGUGCUGCUGGCUGUAUCCAGAAAGCUGUAAUGAUCUGACAGACAUCUUAAAUGCCAGCAUUCUUCUCAUGCUCCUCUUCGUCAUUUGGUGAUCUUCCCCAGGAAGCUGGUUUCAUAUGGUGGUUUAGAUUUAUGUUCCCAGUGUCUAGCACCAUUUGAAAUCAGUGUUCUUGGAGAAAGAAUAGCAGCUGUGUGAUUAAAGUGUGCACAUAUGUUUUUCAAUCGUCUUAGCGUGCUCCAUUUGUCAUUGCAGAUGCACUUUGUUAAAUCCCAAAUAUUUGUGCUGAACAGUCUUGCCUUUCUAAAUCCUAUGAUUUUAAUUUUAGCAAAAAUAAUCUGGAUUUGGCAAAUGCUGUACAGUGUGUGGAAUGUUGCUGGAAUUACCCAAAUGGAUAGAUCUUUAUAUGUUAUAUUCUUUGGAGUUUUGUAUCGUCAUGUCAUUAAAAAGUAUCCACUAUU